rnacentral:rRNA from 1 species
GACGAACGCUGGCGGCGUGCUUAACACAUGCAAGUCGAACGGAAAGGCCCUGCUUUUGUGGGGUGCUCGAGUGGCGAACGUGUGAGUAACACGUGAGUAACCUGCCCUUGACUUUGGGAUAACUUCAGGAAACUGGGGCUAAUACCGGAUAUGAGCUCCUGCUGCAUGGUGUGGGUUGGAAAGUUUCGGCGGUUGGGGAUGGACUCGCGGCUUAUCAGCUUGUUGGUUGGGUAGUGGCUUACCAAGGCUUUGACGGGUAGCCGGCAUGAGAGGGUGACCGGCAACAUGGGGACUGAGAUACGGCCCAGACUGCAACGGGAGGAAGCAGUGGGGAAUAUUGAACAAUGGGCGGAAGCCUGAUGCAGAAACGCCGCGUGCGGGAUGACGGCCUUCGGGUUGUAAACCGCUUUCGAAUGUGAAGAAGAGUGAGUGACGGUAAUGGGUAAAGAAGCACCGGCUAACUACGUG